AACGAACGCUGGCGGCAUGCCUAACACAUGCAAGUCGAACGAGACCUUCGGGUCUAGUGGCGCACGGGUGCGUAUCGCGUGGGAACCUGCCCUUAGGUUCGGAAUAACUCCCCGAAAGGGGUGCUAAUACCGGAUAAUGUCUUCGGACCAAAGAUUUAUCGCCUUUGGAUGGGCCCGCGUUGGAUUAGCUAGUUGGUAGGGUAAAAGCCUACCAAGGCGACGAUCCAUAGCUGGUCUGAGAGGAUGAUCAGCCACACUGGGACUGAGACACGGCCCAGACUCCUACGGGAGGCAGCAGUGGGGAAUAUUGGACAAUGGGCGAAAGCCUGAUCCAGCAAUGCCGCGUGAGUGAUGAAGGCCUUAGGGUUGUAAAGCUCUUUUACCCGGGAUGAUAAUGACAGUACCGGGAGAAUAAGCUCCGGCUAACUCCGUG
rnacentral:rRNA from 1 species